rnacentral:tRNA from 1 species
CCCUCUAGCUCAGUUGGUAGAGCAUGGUGUUUGCAACACCAGGGUUGUGGGUUCGAUUCCCACGGGGG